GCCACCUCCCACCCUUGUCUCUCUACACCUGUUGCUUUGGCGGGCCCACUGGGGCUCCCUGGUCGCCGGGGGACGCCUGUCCCCGGGCCCGCGCCCGCCGAAGCGCUUCGUGAACCCUGAUGAAGAAGGGCUGUCUGAGUACUAUGAAAAUUGUCAAAACUUUCAACAAUGGAUCUCUUGGUUCCGGCAUCGAUGAAGAACGCAGCGAAAUGCGAUAAGUAAUGUGAAUUGCAGAAUUCCGUGAAUCAUCGAAUCUUUGAACGCACAUUGCGCCCCCUGGCAUUCCGGGGGGCAUGCCUGUCCGAGCGUCAUUUCUGCCCUCAAGCACGGCUUGUGUGUUGGGUGUGGUCCCCCCGGGGACCUGCCCGAAAGGCAGCGGCGACGUCCGUCUGGUCCUCGAGCGUAUGGGGCUCUGUCACUCGCUCGGGAGGGACCUGCGGGGGUUGGUCACCACCACAUUUUCUAUUAUGGUUGACCUCGGAUCAGGUAGGAGUUACCCGCUGAACUUAAGCAUAUCAAUAAGCGGAGGAAU
rnacentral:rRNA from 1 species